UUGUUGUGUGGACAGAUAUAUAAGAUAGGGAUUCUGACGAUGCACGUAUUUGAUUUCCCCUCGAGUGAAGUCCUGGACAUGACACGCCACACCAUCUCAGUGCUGCUUCUUGUGCUUUGCUGUGGAGGGUCACUCACCAGAGCAGUGAAAUAUCUGGUAGCGAGAGAAGGAGAAGACUUCAAAUUCAAAUGUUCAUUUUACAAACGUGGGUUCUAUAGGAUCUUCUGUAAACACCGCUGUGAGUCAGGCAGGGAUUUUUUGUUUAUUUCCUCAAGAGACUCAAGAGAAAAUUAUGGGAAAUACAGUUUUACAUUUGAGGAGCGUGAUUCAUAUCCAGAUGUGAUGUAUGUGACCAUCCGAAAUGUGCAGAGAUCUGACGAGGGAACAUACAGCUGUGCUGUGGCUGGCUUUCAGUGGAGGUUUGUGGACGUCGAGAUUUCUGUCACAAGUGCUAAAAUUUCUGGACCUGGAGUCCCCGAGGGCCCCAGUGCAUCUGAAGCUCAGCAGGACCAGGACCCACUAUCUGAUGUGGUGCUGUAUGUAGGACUGAGCCUGAGCGCUCUUCUGAUCCUGUCAGUGACACUCGCCUCAUUUAUACUGAACCGGAGAAAGAGAGCCAGCACAGCACCAGAAUCCCCCCAGACUCCAGGAUAUGAUCACCUACUGGAGAGCACCCCUGAAGAGGUUCCACCUGACAGCAGACAGAGCAGAGAAGCUCCUGUAGACAUCAUCUCAGACUCCUUCACUAACCCCAUCUACACCGAGUAGUCUAUGUACUCUGCUCCUAUUGGUCCACAGCUGAAAGCUCCAGUUUGUUACAUGCUGUGCCCCCCAGUGUCCGACUGCACAAACUGAAAAGGAUCCUCUAUACUUUUUCACUUCACUUCAGAAGAAGAGGAAGGCCUGGACAUGACACUCCACACCAUCUCAGUGCUGCUUCUUGGUAAGUUUCCUCUCAUCGAUUCAUGAUGCACUCAGAGGUGGGUAGAGUAGCUGUUUGUAGCCAAGCAAGAAUAACGGAACUGUGUAUGAUUUUUAUUUUAAAUUCAAUAAACAUGAUAAACAGAUUAACAUGUUCUAAUCAAGGCAAAGGAGAAAUUCAAUUCAACUGGACAAAAGUUUAUUUUGGUCAAAUAUUUUGGUUUCGCAGUUCAUUCAAGCUGCUUCUUCAGUUCUUGUUUUCAGUAUAAUCAUGCAGGUCCUACCCCAAACAAAUGACCUUCUCCUCUACUUUUGUUUGCUCAAACUACACAUGUUAAAAAUAAACCCCUCGGGAUUUUCAGCAGGUCUCAGACUAUAAUAAAAAAGACACUUUUACUUUUCCUGUCCUGUUCAAAAAUGUGGUGGAGUAGAAAGUACAGAAUACCUGCUCUCAAAUGUGGCGGAGUAAACAAGAACGUAUCCACUUUAAAAUCUACUUCAGAAAACUACAGAUACUUUUUUUUUUUUUUAAGUACAGUACUUACCACUGACAACAACAUGACUAUUUUGGAUUUAUGCCAUCGUAGAUCAAGGGACCUCAACUGGAGAUUUGUCUAAACGUUAGUCAUUGGUCAUUAGUCAUUAGUCAUUAGUACACAGAAUCUGGAGUUGCAAACGGGGACAAAACUUAGAGGAAAUUCAAACUAUUGUAUAAGCAUUAAAACUGACAGUACACAUGAAACUGAAAGGGUUAUGAACAUAAAGAUAGUGCUGUGAUGACUGUUUAAGUUCCUAUUUACAGUAUUUUCCACACUAUUAGGCGCUCUGGAUUAUAAAAUGCACUGUCAUAGAAUGAUGUAUUUUUGAACUUUUUUCACAAAUAAACUGCACUGGACUUUGUUUGACGCCGUUACAGGCCGUCGUAUUUGUUUUGUGUGCUCCCGUUCUUCUCUAUUUGCUUUUGUGUGUGCAUGAUGCGCUCGGUCCGUGAGCGCUGGACCCGGAUGCGUGGGAGCACCAGAUGCCGGACGGAGGCUGGCGUCACAGCGUGUCGAGGAUUGGCCGGUCACCCUUCUGCCCUCACCGAUCCGCGGAUGCCACGUGUGGGAGCGGGGGUUUAAAAAGGACAAUCUUCCGCCUGCUCGGGGAGGCUGGAUCCCUGCGGCCAGUUCACCCUUUUUGUUUGAUUCUUUGGUUGUCUCACUUUGUGUUUUGUUAUAUGGCUGGCUGUUGCCUCCGUUAGUUCUUUGAGACACCUUUUUGUUCGCAUUGUACUUAGUUAGGGCUCCUUAGUUUAUUAGAUUAUUUUGUUUAAAUCCUUUUUAUUUUCUCCUCAAAUUCCUGUUUUUUUUUUUUUUUGGUUUUUUUUUUCUUUUCCUACACUGUAAAUAAUAAAUGCACAAUUUUUAGUUAAA